UGAGGCAGGAGAAUUGCUUGAACCCAGGAAGUGGAGGUUGCAGUGAGCCAAGAUUGUGCCACUGCACUCCAGCCUGGGUGACAGAGCGAGACUCGGUCUCA
ensembl:miRNA